GGGCGCAUAGCUCAGCUGGGAGAGCACCUGCCUUACAAGCAGGGGGUCAUAGGUUCGAGCCCUAUUGCGCCCA
rfam:Eubacterium saphenum ATCC 49989 genomic scaffold Scfld0, whole genome shotgun sequence.